UACAGAGGGGGCUAGCGUUGUUCGGAAUUACUGGGCGUAAAGCGCACGUAGGCGGACCAGCAAGUUAGGGGUGAAAUCCCGGGGCUCAACCCCGGAACUGCCUUUAAAACUGUUGGUCUGGAGGUCGAGAGAGGUGAGUGGAAUUCCGAGUGUAGAGGUGAAAUUCGUAGAUAUUCGGAGGAACACCAGUGGCGAAGGCGGCUCACUGGCUCGAUACUGACGCUGAGGUGCGAAAGCGUGGGGAGCAAACAGG
rnacentral:rRNA from 1 species